GAGUUUGAUCCUGGCUCAGGAUUAACGCUAGCGGGAGGCCUAAUACAUGCAAGGCGAGGGCGCAGCAAUGUGACCGCCGUACGGGUGCGUAACGCGUAUGCAACCUACCCAUCACAGGGGGACAGCCCAUGGAAACGUGGAUUAAUACCGCAUAAAGCAGGGGCACUGCCUGGUGAUACUGCUAAAGAUUUAUCGGUGAUGGAUGGGCAUGCGUCUGAUUAGCUGGUUGGUAGGGUAACGGCCUACCAAGGCGAUGAUCAGUAGGGGAGCUGAGAGGUUUUUCCCCCACACGGGCACUGAGACACGGUCCAGACUCCUACGGGAGGCAGCAGUGAGGAAUCUUCCACAAUGGGCGAAAGCCUGAUGGAGCAACGCCGCGUGCAGGAUGAAGGCCUUCGGGUCGUAAACUGCUUUUAUAAGUGAGGAUUAUGACAGUAACUUAUGAAUAAGGAUCGGCUAACUACGUGCCAGCAGCCGCGGUCAUACGUAGGAUCCGAGCGUUAUCCGGAGUGACUGGGCGUAAAGAGUUGCGUAGGUGGGCUAAUAAGCGAAUAGUGAAAUCUGGUGGCUCAACCAUUCAGACUAUUACUCGAACUGUUAGACUCGAGAACAGCAGAGGUAACUGGAAUUUCUAGUGUAGGAGUGAAAUCCGUAGAUAUUAGAAGGAACACCAAUGGCGUAGGCAGGUUACUGGGCUGUUUCUGACACUGAGGCACGAAAGCGUGGGGAGCGAACCGGAUUAGAUACCCGGGUAGUCCACGCCGUAAACGAUGGAUACUAGCUGUUUGGGGUAUCGACCCCCUGAGUAGCGAAGCUAACGCGUUAAGUAUCCCGCCUGUGGAGUACGAUCGCAAGAUUAAAACAUAAAGGAAUUGACGGGGACCCGCACAAGCGGUGGAUCAUGUUCUUUAAUUCGAUGAUAACCGAUAAACCUUACCAGGUCUUGACAUCCUUGGAAUUUUUAGGAAACUAAAGAGUGCUUUAUUGAACCAAGUGACAGGUGAUGCAUGGCCGUCGUCAGCUCGUGUCGUGAGAUGUUUGGUUAAGUCCAUCAACGAGCGCAACCCUUGUCAGUAGUUGUAUUUUUCUACUGAGACUGCCCCAGUAACGGGGAGGAAGGAGGGGAUGACGUCAGGUCAGUAUUUCCCUUACGCCCUGGGCUAGAAACGUGAUACAAUGGCUAGUACAAUGCGCAGCGAAGCCGCGAGGUGAAGCAAAUCGCAUCAAAGCUAGUCCCAGUUCGGAUUGUAGGCUGAAACUCGCCUGCAUGAAGUCGGAAUCGCUAGUAAUCGCGGAUCAGCAUGCCGCGGUGAAUACGUUGCCGGGCCUUGUACACACCGCCCGUCACACCACGGGAGUUGGGAGUACCCGAAGUAGGUUGCCUAACCGCAAGGAGGGCGCUUCCUAAGGUAAGACCGAUGACUGGGGUGAAGUCGUAACAAGGUAACCA
rnacentral:rRNA from 1 species